UACGAAGGGUGCAAGCGUUACUCGGAAUUACUGGGCGUAAAGGGCGCGUAGGCGGCCUGCUAAGUCGAACGUGAAAUCCCCGAGCUCAACUCGGGAACUGCGUCCGAUACUGGCAGGCUUGAAUCCGGGAGAGGGAUGCGGAAUUCCAGGUGUAGCGGUGAAAUGCGUAGAUAUCUGGAGGAACACCGGUGGCGAAGGCGGCAUCCUGGACCGGCAUUGACGCUGAGGCGCGAAAGCCAGGGGAGCAAACGGG
rnacentral:rRNA from 1 species